AACGAACGCUGGCGGCAUGCCUAACACAUGCAAGUCGAACGAGACCUUCGGGUCUAGUGGCGCACGGGUGCGUAACGCGUGGGAACCUGCCCUUAGGUUCGGAAUAACUCCCCGAAAGGGGUGCUAAUACCGGAUAAUGUCUUCGGACCAAAGAUUUAUCGCCUUUGGAUGGGCCCGCGUUGGAUUAGCUAGUUGGUAGGGUAAAAGCCUACCAAGGCGACGAUGCAUAGCUGGUCUGAGAGGAUGACCAGCCACACUGGGACUGCGACACGGCCCAGACUCCUACGGGAGGCAGCAGUGGGGAAUAUUGGACAAUGGGCGAAAGCCUGAUCCAGCAAUGCCGCGUGAGUGAUGAAGGCCUUAGGGUUGUAAAGCUCUUUUACCCGGGAUGAUAAUGACAGUACCGGGAGAAUAAGCUCCGGCUAACUCCGUG
rnacentral:rRNA from 1 species